GGGUGAUAGUAAAGGCUAGGUGUCAAUGGUGAUGGUUAGUUAGUACAUUUGGUAGUUGACGGUGGCUGUCAAUAGUGACUAGUAACAAUCGGUGGUAAUGGCUAGCAGAAUUCAUCCAAUUGGGAUAUCUAUUCAGAACUUAAAAUUAUUAUCAACAAAAAGGAAGGUGUUAAAAAGGGCUUCGAAAGAACUCUUAAAGAAGAAAGA
rnacentral:lncRNA from 1 species